GGGAGGAUAAUUAGAAAAUCAUCAGCAUAGACUACAUCGAUCCCUUCUUUUUGGUGUAGAUACCGCUUAAAGCAGAAAACGUCCCGUCUUACAUCAGUAAUCGCUACGUUGAGGCAUCGUUGUUUACGGAUGCCUGACUGAUGUAAGACGGGAUUUUUUCCGCUUUAAUUCCACUUUUAUUACUGAUGUAAGACGGGAUGUUUUCCGCUUUAAGCGGUAUCUACAACAAAGCGACGGGAUCGACGUAGUCUGUGCUGUUGAUUUUCUAAUUAUCCUCCCUUCCUACGCAGGAUUUGUUGCAUAUCACCAACGAAAGAUAAAGGAACGAUUUAGGAAAAAACUUAAGUGGCUAAUCGAACAACAAAUAAAAAUGAAACAGAGGAAUAGGUCCCCUGUUACACUUUAUAUGGUUAUGGAUGGAAUAACUUUACCUCCUUUCGUACAUGAGGUUUUAGCUAUGGGCCCGAACACUUUAGUCCAGAAUAUCCUCACCUGGCAAAAUAUGGCGAUACAGUUAGAACUGGCAUUAUCCGUUUGUCACCCUGU
rnacentral:lncRNA from 1 species